rnacentral:ncRNA from 1 species
CCGUGAGAGCAGCGCCGAGCACCCGCAAGGGUGCGGAAGUCACUAGAGCCCAGGUCGCCAAGAAAAGCCUCUAGCCAGAUCCGUUUCCGCCCGUACCGCAAACCGACACAGGUAGGCAGGGAGAAAUAUCCCAAGGUGAUCGAGCGACCCUCUGUUAAGGAACUCGGCAAAAUGACCCCGAACCUUCGGAAGAAGGGGUGCCUUAGUAACUUUACGGAAAGUCCGUGAGGUGAGGAGGCUGCAAAAAAGAGGCUCAACCGACUGUUUACCAAAAACAUAGGUCUCUGCGAACGCGAGAGCGGAAGUAUAGGGGCUGACUCCUGCCCAGUGCCGGAAGGUUAAGAGGAGCGGUGCAAGCUGCGAAUCGAAGCCCCGGUGAACGGCGGCCGUAACUAUAACGGUCCUAAGGUAGCGAAAUUCCUUGUCGGGUAAGUUCCGACCCGCACGAAAGGAGUAACGAGUUGAGCACUGUCUCGACAGAGGACUCGGCGAAAUUGAAAGACCCGUGAAGAUACGGGUUACCCACGACAGGACAAAAAGACCCCGUGGAGCUUUACUACACCUUGGUCUGGAAAUGAGGGACAGCGUGCGUAGGAUAGGUGGGAGCCGGAGAAUCCAUCCUUGUGGGGAUGGAGGAGGCAACGGUGAAAUACCACUCUCGAUGUGUUUUGUUUCUCACGCAGGUAGCUGUGGACAGGGCCAGGCGGGUAGUUUGACUGGGGCGGUCGCCUCCCAAAGAGUAACGGAGGCGCCCAAAGGUUCCCUCAGGGUGAAUGGAAACCACCCACAAAGAGUGGAAAGGCAGAAGGGAGCUUGACUGCGAGGCGGACAUGCCGAGCAGGGACGAAAGUCGGGCUUAGUGAUCCCACACGGCUGAGUGGAAGGCGUGUGGCUCAACGGAUAAAAGCUACCCCGGGGAUAACAGGCUGAUCUUGCCCAAGAGUUCAAAUCGACGGCAAGGUUUGGCACCUCGAUGUCGGCUCGUCGCAUCCUGGGGCUGGAGUAGGUCCCAAGGGUUGGGCUGUUCGCCCAUGAAAGCGGCACGCGAGCUGGGUUCAGAACGUCGCGAGACAGUUCGGUCUCUAUCCGUCGUGGGCGCAGGAAAAGAGAGGGAAGUCAUCUUCAGUACGAGAGGACCGAGAUGGCUGGACCGCUGGUGAGCCAGUUGGGGGGCCUCCCCCAGAGCUGGAUAGCUAUGUCCAGAAAGGAGAAGCGCUGAAAGCAUCUAAGCGCGAAGCCGCUCCCAAGAUCCAUUUUCCCACUCGCACAGCGAGUGAAGAUCCCAGGAAGAAGACCUGGUAGACAGACGACACGUGGACGCUUGGUAACAGGUGAAGCGAAGUCGUGCUGAUGAUCGAACGGCUUGUAAGC